rnacentral:rRNA from 1 species
AGCAGCCGCGGUAAUUCCAGCUCCAAUAGCGUAUAUUAAAGUUGUUGCAGUUAAAAAGCUCGUAGUUGAAUUUCGGAAUCUGUCCGUCGGUCGGGCUUCACUGUCCGUACUGGCGUGGUGGGUUCUUACCUUCUGAAUAACCAGCAUGCCAUUCACUUGGUGCGUUGGGGAAGCAGGACUAUUACCUUGAAAAAAUUAGAGUGCUCAAAGCAGGCUAGUGCCUGAAUACAUUAGCAUGGAAUAAUAAAAUAGGACGGCAUGGUUCUAUUUUGUGGUUUCUAGGAUCACCGUAAUGAUUAAUAGGGAUAGUUGGGGGCAUUAGUAUUCAAUUGUCAGAGGUGAAAUUCUUGGACUUAUUGAAGACUAACUUCUGCGAAAGCAUUUGCCAAGGAUGUUUUCAUUAAUCAAGAACGAAAGUUAGGGGAUCGAAGACGAUCAGAUACCGUCGUAGUCUUAACCAUAAACUAUGCCGACUAGGGAUCGGACGAUGUUAAUUUUUAAUGACUC